AAUGCCUGUAUAUUUGAAUAUAAUAAAUACAUUAUAUUGAAUUUCAUAUCCUAUGAAAUUCAACUCCCGACCUGUACGCAUGUCGUCUGUCUGUCUGUCUGCCUGUCUGUCUGUCUGUCUGUCUGUCUGUCUGCCUGCCUGCCUGCCUGCCUGCCUGCCUGCCUGUCUGUCUGUCUGUCUGUCUGUCUGCCUGCCUGCCUGUCUGUCUGUCUGUCUGUCUGCCUGUCUGCCUGUCUGUCUGUCUGUCUGUCUGUCUGCCUGUCUGCCUGUCUGUCUGUCUGGCUGGCUGUCUGUCUGUCUGUCUCUCUGCCUGUCUGCCUGUGUGUCUGUCUGUCUGUCUGUCUGUCUGUCUGUCUGUCUGUCUGUCUGCCUGUCUGUCUGUCUGUCUGUCUGUCUGUCUGUCUGUCUGUCUGUCUGUCUGUCUGGUCAGGUCCAGCAGCAGAGGAACGAGGAGGUGGCAGCCCCCCCCCUUACGGACGUCAACAGAUCGACGGCCCCGCCCCCCAAACCCAUCAGCCCCCCCCCCCCGACCCCCACCCAGCCCCCGCUCCCUGCCCCCGUCCAGAAACCCCCCCCCCCCCCCCACUGGGCACCCCCCGUCCUCCCUGGAUUUCGAUCAAUCUCCCUACACCACCCCCCCUUCUUCCCCCCGCACCUCCCCCCCCCCCCCCCCCCCCCCAGCCCAACUCACCUCCCUCCGCCCCCACCGGGACCUCCCCCGUGAGCCCCACCGCCCCUCGGCCCUCCACCGCCCUGCCCCCCAAGCCCGCCCCCAGGCGUCUCUCCCGGCCUCCGCCGGGACCGGAACCCCCCGCAGCUACCCCACCGUCUCCCCUCCCCUCAGACGACGGGUGUCACUUGUGUGGCGUCGUUCCCACGGUAACCUGUGCGUCGUGCUCCCCCCUGCUCUUCUGCGACGUGUGCGAUGGAAUCUUCCACCGCAACCCAGCGAGAGCCAAUCACAAGAGAGAGCCGAUUCCACCCGCCAAAAAGGAGUACUGCUCCAUCUGUGGCGUCCUGCCAGUGGAUAUGGACUGCCCCGUCUGUGUCAUGAAGUUCUGCCUGGUGUGUGACGGGGUCUACCACCAGCACCCCGAGCGCGCCGGGCACCCGAGGACCGCCCUGACGCCGCCCAGGGCCAGCAGCUCCCUUCCCUACAGUUCCGUCCCGUCCACGUGGACGUGCGGCCAUUGCUCCGUGGAGAACCCGAUGCAGACGGUGCUCUGUGACGGCUGUAAGCGCCCCCGUCUGGCCAGCCCCAGCCCCCGGCCCCAGGAGGACACCCCAAAAGGCCCCCUGUCCCCCACCACCGGUGAGCCUUCACCACGCCGACUAGAUGUGCGACGGAUAGAUGAGCAACGUUUGCUCCAGUCCACCGGGCAGGCUGGUAGACUGAUCUAUCCAGAGCACAUCUAGGAGGACACGCCCACUAGUGAUGUCAGAAGAGGCCGGUUUUCAAAACGGCUCGUCGCGGCCAAUCACACUCACACCUGGUGGUGUGAUAUGUCACCUUUAAACAGCAGACAAACUCUAAAACCAAGACAUGGCGGCCGUCCCAGGAACACACAGGCCGCCAUCUUCACAACGCCACCAACACACCCGGCGUAUUCAACUGACCACAGAUCAGCUCACCCCCACCCCCCCCUCUCUCCCCACCCCCCCCCAGAUUGGCAGUGCACCAGCUGCACUGUGAUGAACAAGGCCACCCGCGUCCUGUGCGCGGUGUGUGAGCGCCCCGCCUGGCCCACCGGCCGUCCCUCGCCACCCUCGCCCGGACCGCGCCGAAGCUCCUGGGCGCCCCCGCCACGCAGGUGGGUCACUCCUCGCCAACGAGCGCUGCUGUGUUUCCAGGGGCGACCCUGUUUUCAAACCCAGGCUGACGAGUCGAUCCGUCUGUCACCCCUCGGGGUAAAGUGCCCCUGUGAUGUCACCAGGGCAGUUAUCGGAGGGUUGGGGUAACGCAGUGGUGGGAGUGUUUAUAGCACUUAGCAGCGUGUAGCGUCUAAUGCUAGCUAUCGUUGAACGGGUUAACCUAGAGAUGGUUAGCGCUUGGCACUUGGUUCUAUGAACGUCCUUACUGGGCUGAUGGCCAUAUAUUUUCGUUUUCCUUUCUUCUGACAAACGUACUUAUUUUAAGUCGCACUGGAUAAAAGCGUCUGCUAAAGGCCCUAAAUGUAAAUGUAAAUGUUUGUGAUGAUGAUUAGGUAACAGCCACACAUUUAGUCGUCUUCAGAUCAUUGUGAGUUCUUACAUCACAGCCAUCAUUUAUGAGUGAUCUCUCACUAGGAUGCCGGUCUGAAUCCCGGUCGAGCUGAGGGGGGAGCUGUAAAGGCCAAUUCGUCCGUCCGUACCAAACGUUUCCGGGACUACCCGGUUUCAGCGUUGUUGAACGGCAUCGACAAUCGCAAACAGCAUCUGUAGACAGGCCUGCGUUCACCUGCCGUUGGGCCCUGGGGCGGAGAGGUUCGUUAGUUGAGAGAGGAUCUUACAAUGAAGAUGCCGUUGUUGACAGGGGGCGGGGUGGGUUAGACGACUGUGGCUGUGGUGGUCAAGUGGCCACUGGGCCCAGCUACCACUCGUGCCCCCCCCCCUUUUCUUGGCUCAUGAUAGGCCUGUGAUCUUUGUAAGCCCCAAACAAAAAAUCACAUUGUCUUGGGCCUACGCCGAUCAUGCCUAUAAUGAGCCAGUAAUAUAAAAAAUAAAAGAUAGGCCCACUGAUCUGGGGGCCUAUCAUGAGCCAGUAAUAAAAAAAUAAAAUCAUAUAAAGAAUAAUAAUUUGACUGCAGCUCAUGAUAGGCUGCAGUAAAAUUAAAAUAAAAAGGCCAGGUAUGUAGUAUAAUAUGAGUAUAAAUGUUAAAUACAAUAUGUAUAUACAUAUCACAUAUUAUACUACUCUCUCUAUUUUCGCGAAUGGUUGGACUUCUGACUCUAUACUGCCGCCUCGAUUUCCGGUGGUAUUGCUCCGUUUCUCCCGGAGCACUCCGGAUUCGUAAGCUCAGAGGCGACGGACACACUGACGGACGAAACGACCUCCGGGACCGGACGAAGGGGUUCCUAUCCGUACUUACCGUAGGGUGGGAAUGGGCAGUAGCAGGGCACCACCAUGACGUCGGCUAUAAUGGAUGGGCUGACUGUGAUCCAAUCAGGGCUGGUUGCCCACUAAGUGGCGCAUGUGGAAGCAUGUAAAUCUGACUCAGACAUUUACAUUACAUUGAGCACCAGAGCCCGAUGAUUCAAAUGUCCGAGGACGUGACGUACAGAUCAAGAGCUAAGCCGACUGAAACACAACGAUUCUUAUGUUCAUGUUAUGCACUUAUUUAAGCGUGCAGAUGACUACUAUAUCGCAUGUCGUAUGCAUCGUUUCGGAUCUAGUAUCGGAUCGGUGCAUAGACUCACUGAUGCCUGCGCUCAGGAUCUAUCGGAUGGAUUUCAGGUACCGGUUUCGAUAUCGUAACGACUCUAGUCUGGGCUUAAGGUGCGGCCACACCAGACGCGUAUCUCGCGUAAUUUUUACGCGAGAUACGCGUGUAAAAUGUUGCUUGACCAUUUUGUGUCAAAAAUGGUCACAUACGCGCAAUACGCGCCAUACGCGCCUACGUCACUCGCCUAGAUGAGUCCAUGUCCAUGCAAGUGAACGGAGCGUUCCCUCUUCGUCAUAACUAUCAAACCAAACAUCCUUCACAUUCACCGAGCGAACAUUACGAAAGUAAAAUGCACAUUUCUCGCUAAAAAUGUUUCCAUAAACGCAUUUAAUGGCGUAACUAUGUUACUAUUUCCACCCAGAACAAAGAAAGUUGUCGGCCGUGGCUGUGUGUGUCUGUGUGUGUGUCUUGCCCCAGGAUGAGGCUCCCCACGGUUGGGUGUGUGUGUGUGUGUGUGUGUGUUGCCCCAGGAUAAGCUGCGCUGGAGUCCGAGGUAGGAAACCCAAACGCCGCCGUGUUUGGGUGAUAGAGUUUAGAUCGGGUUAGAUUAAAUAAUCUCGGAUAUAAAUAACAAUAAUCGGGUUAAAUAACUUCACAUGGUGUGUCUGGUGUGUUUCCAGCAUUCGUAGUGUUGAUCAGCAGAUAUAUAGUCCGCCAAGACGUUGAGGUUGCUUAUGCCGCUUUUCCACCGCACAUGUAGCUCGACUCGACACGACUCGACACGACUCGACACGACUCGACACGACUCGACACGACUCGACACGACUCGACACGACUCGACACGACUCGACACGACUCGACACGGUAGCAGCGCGGGUCCUUUUCCACCGCAAAUAGUACCUCCGGGACGUGGGCGGGGUCGGCUGCGCGAAAGGGCCGUGACGUAUUUGUGUACGCGACGCAAACAACACCUACGUAACCCACACAUGGACAGAACCCACAUAACAACAAUGGAGAACAUCGAUGCGAUGGUAUUCGUGUUCGUAUUAUUAGCUGGCAUGUUGAAGAAGUGGAAUAUGUUGGCUGCGGCGCUGCUAUGGCUGUUACCAGCAUGGUUGCCAUGUCGCUCUCGUGACUUCGUCACACUCUCUGGCCAAUCAGUGGCCGGCCGUCUGCCGACGUCACCUUUUAGCAUCGGCUCAGCCGCUUGGAACCUUGAGCGAGGCGGUACUAGAAAAAGCAGCCACUUCAGGUACCAGAUACCAUGUUUUCCGCGGUGGAAACGCAAAAAAGGCGAGCUGCCAGUGACGUCGGGUCAAGCUCAACGCUGAUUGGGCAAUGCAUGUCUCGUCAGACGCAUAUCUCGCGUACUUCACGUAAAAAGUUCAAUUUUUUGAACUCUUGAAAUGUACGUGAUAUACGCGCGUAUUGCGCGUAAAUAUACGCGCCACAUACGCGCUAUACGCGCGUAAAAUGUUGCUUAUACGCGUAUUACGCGUGAAACGUGUAAUACGCGCGUAAACCAAUGGUUCCCUAUGGAAAAAAUGGCGAUUUCAUACGCGAAGUACGCGAGAUACGCGUCUGGUGUGGCCGCACCUUUAAGGUGCGGCCACACCAGACGCGUAUCUCGCGUAUCUUUUACGCGAGAUACGCAAGUAAAAUGUUGCUUGACCAUUUUGUGUCAAAAAUGGUCACAUACGCGCAAUACGCGCCAUACGCGCAUACGUCACUCGCCUAGAUGAGUCCAUGUCCAUGCAAGUGAACGGAGCGUUCCCUCUUCGUCAUAACUAUCAAACCAAACAUCCUUCACAUUCACCGAGCGAACAUUACGAAAGUAAAAUGCACAUUUCUCGCUAAAAAUGUUUCCAUAAACGCAUUUAAUGGCGUAACUAUGUUACUAUUUCCACCCAGAACAAAGAAAGUUGUCGGCCGUGGCUGCGCUGGAGUCCGAGGUAGGAAACCCCAACGCCGCCGUGUUUGGGUGAUAGAGUUUAGAUCGGGUUAGAUUAAAUAAUCUCGGAUAUAAAUAACAAUAAUCGGGUUCAAUAACUUCACAUGGUGUGUCUGGUGUGUUUCCCAGCAGAGAAAUAGUCCGCCAAGACGUUGAGGUUGCUUAGUAACCAGAGACUCUGUCCAUGCAAGUGAACGGAGCGUUCCCUCUUCGUCAUAACUAUCAAACCAAACAUCCUUCACAUUCACCGAGUGAACAUUAUGAAAGUAAAAUGCACAUUUCUCGCUAGAAAUGUUUCCAUAAAAGCAUUUAAUGGCGUAACUAUGUUACUAUUUCCACACAGAAUAAAGAAAGAUGUCGGCCGUAUGCUUCUGUCCAAGCUCACUACUCUCUGCCAGUGACGUCGGGUCAAGCUCAACGCUGAUUGGGCAACGCGGCUAAUCGUCAUGCGUAUCAUGCGUAUUGAGCGUAAAAAGUUCAAUUUUUUGAACUCUUGAAAUGUACGCGAUAUACGCGCGUAUAGCGCGUAUUGCGCGUAAAUAUACGCGCCACAUACGCGCUAUACUCGCGUAAAAUGUUGCUUAUACGCGCGUAAACCAAUGGUUCCCUAUGGAAAAAAUGGCGAUUUUAUACGCGAAGUACGCGAGAUACGCGUCUGGUGUGGCCGCACCUUUAGCCUGGCUAUUGCCAGACCGAGCUCCAUCGUAGAUUACACGUUGGUCUGGGGAGCCUGCUGUCAUUUUCUUCAGCACAAGAGGCGUGAUCAGCAGGCCUAGUUCAAAUGACUCUGUUCGCAAUUGGCUGCUUGCCGUCGCUUCCCUGUCGUUAUUGUGUUAAACCAGCCAAUAGCGCGUGUGUCUGAAUCAGAAAGAAACGUAUCGCUCUUCUCCAGACCUUAGUGCGGGGCGGAGUCAGAUCGCCGGCAGAACGGGCGUGGCUCCCCAGUCUAGCCUGGGGUGAUACAUUAUGACGAAGUGGACCUUCAGAUGUUUCCUCCUCUCCUCCUCUCCUAGUGGACCUGCCAGGCGUGCACCUACCGAAACCUCG
ensembl:lncRNA